rnacentral:rRNA from 1 species
AUGCGAGGCUUUGAUCCCAAAUGGUGUAGUUGGGUUGAGCAAAUCCUACACAAUGGCACAGUCAGCAUCAAGUUAAAUAAUUGUGUCGGGCCUUAUUUGCAAAGUGCCAAAGGGGUACGCCAGGGGGACCCCUAUUCUCCUUUUUUGUUUAAUAUGGCUGUGGAGUGCCUCACUAAAAUGAUCAAGAACGCCCAGAACAAUAAUCUUAUUGUUGGGUUAGCUUCGGAUCUAAUCCCACAUGGAGUUGCGGUGCUGCAAUACGCAGACGACACGAUUAUCUGUCUAGAGUGA